AUGUUCUUAAGAUCUUUGAGAGGGAGAAAAUAAGCUCAUGCAGGUGUUGAGAGAAGUUCCGAGUAGGAUCUGUCUAACUACGGAUCUAUGGAGAGCAAUCACAAUCGAAGGCUAUCUCUGUCUUACUGCCCACUAGGUCGAUGUUGAAUGGAACCGUAGAGCGAAGAUCCUCUCCUUUUGCGCUUUCCCUCCACCCCAUUCUGGUCCGGCCAUUGCAAUGAAACUAUUGGACCUGAUUAAAGAGGGUUUGCAUAAGAAGGUCUUCACAAUUACCGUUGAUAAUGCUUCCUCCAAUGACAUCAUGCAAGGAGUUCUCAAGAGGCAUCUUAGAAAGGAUUUAGUUUGUAGUGGAGAGUUUUUUCACAUAAGGUGUGCUGCUCAUAUUCUGAACCUCAUUGUCCAAGAUGGAUUAGCUGUGAUAAGUGAGGCCUUGGAGAAGAUCAGGGACAGCGUUAAGUAUGUCAAGGUCAGUGAGUUUAGAGAGCUGUUGUUUCAAGGCUGCGCGGAGACUCUUGGGAUUGUUAAGAAAGGGGUUAGUUUUGGAUGUUACUACGCGGUGGAACUCAACCUAUCUGAUGUUGUCUAGGGCUCUUCACUACAAAGAGGCAUUUAAGAAUCUUGCAGAAAUCGAGACAAGUUACAAGAGCUACCUACAGAGUCUGAGUGGUUAAGAGCUGGGCUGAUUUGUGGUUUGUUACAGCCGUUUGAUGAGAUGACAAAGCUCAUUCCCGGCUCUUCUUACACUACAGAGAAUCUGUACUUCAUGGAAGUAUGGAAAAUUCAAAGUUGGUUGGGAUCAAAUGAGUUCCAUGAAGAUACGGUGAUUGCUGAUAUGGUGGCUUCCAUGAGGUUGAAAUUUGUUAAGUACUGGGAAGAGUACAGCGACAUUCUAGCCAUUGAAGCAGUGUUAGAUCCUAGGCUAAAGUUCAAGGUUUUGGAGUACUGCUACCACAGUUCAGAUCUAGCAACUUGUAAAUCCAGAACGGAUUACAUACGCAAAAGGAUGUUGAAGCUCUAUGGAGAUUACAAGAAGAAUACUAGUGCACAGAGUUCACAAGAAGUAGAAGCAGAUGCUCUACCUGCUGGUUAUGGUGUAAGUUAUUUAAAACUGAUGCUUUAGAUGUGUAUUUAAGUUAUCUACCAGAAACAGAUGAUUUAAUAAUCUCUUUCUUUGUAGGGCUUCUAUGAGUUCUUCUCUCAACAAGCAGGAACAAGGGAAUCUGCUUUGGAUUUGUAUCUGAGUGAACCUGUGCUUGAUAUGGUUGCAAAUAAAAAGUUAGAUGUCCUUAAGUAUUGGAGGGACAAUGCAAACAGGUUUAAGGAGCUGUCUCGAAUGGCCUGUGAUAUUCUCUGCGUCCCAAUAACAACAGUGUCGUCUGAGUCAUCCUUCAGUGUGGGAAGUCGGGUUCUUAGCAAGUACAUGAGCCGCCUUCUUCCAUCAAAUGUCCAAGCUUUGAUUUGUGCUAGAAACUGGCUUCGUGGUUUUGAAGUGAUUGGUGAGUUUGUUGAAUUUAUAAUUGAGCUUUUAUAUGUGAAAAUUAUUGAUUGAACUUCUUGUUUUUGAUAGCUGGACGCGAUUUAGAUGAGGAAGAUCAGGAAGAUGCCAAUGAGGAAGCAGAAGGAAAUGGAAGGAAGAAGAAGACCCGACACAAUUAAAGGUAUAAUCACUUAGAAAUUCUAGAAUCAUUAGGAGAGGAAAAUGAAUGAUAGGAUUUCAAUGUUUCAUUGCUUAACAUGGUUCAUUGCUUGAUGGUUAUCACUUAUGUUCUGUUGUUUGCUUAUAGUGAUGGGUUUGGUUCUGUUGUUUCUUGACUUAACAUGGUUCAUUGCUUAAUGGCUAUCACUUAGGUUAUGUUGUUUGCUUAAUGGUAAUAAGGUUGGGGUCUCUUGUGCAUGUUAAUCUCAUGCUGAUGGAGUGAGCUGAAUCAAAAGAUGUAUAAGGAAAUACUGAAGUUUAAUUAUGUAUGUAUGAACCUAAUCUAAUGUAUGUAUGAACCUAAUCUAUGCUUUGGAGUUUGAAUAAUGUAUGAACCUAAUCUAUGUAUGUAUGAACCUUAUUUAGGCCUUUGGAUGAUGUAUGAACUUUAUCUAUGUUUUUGAACUCCGCGAAACGUAAUGAAGUUAUGUUGCAUAUAAAUUUUUGUAUUUUAACACUGUUUUUUCUAAUUGGGCCUCGCGGAAUGUCCAUUUGGAAUAGUCCAAUUUGGUCUGGACAGUUUGGACUUGGUCCAAUUUGGGCUUAAAAAAAAAUAAUGUCCAAUAAAUUAGUUUGUCCAUUUAGACAUGCCCAUUAGACAUGGACAGCCAAUUUGAUAUCUCUAACUCCAGCUCAGCUAACCCAAUUGCUUCAAUGUGGAUUAGAUAGUUAGGAUAAAAUUCACUAAUCACAAUUAUCAUAAGUACUUAUUUAUUUUUUUAUAUUACAACAUUUACAAUUUUAUUUUUAUUCCAUAAUUAUUUAAUCUUGUCUAAAAUUCACUAAUCGCAAUUACAAAUUUACAUAGUUCUCUCAAACAAUUACACAGUUCCCUCGAACAAUAGUCAACACACAUAUAUAUAUAAAUAUAAUAAAGUGGGAAAAAAACAAAAUACUAAAAUUUAGUUUUAUUAAUUGUCUCUACUAUUUUUUUUAGUUAGAUUUUGAUUUGGAAAAACAUUAAUUAAAUAGAAAAAACAAAGAAUCCUAAAACGUAAGUUAACUAAUAAUUUCAAUGGCAUACUAUUGUAAAUAAGUUAAAAAAUUAAGGGAUAUUUUAUUUUUGUACUGUUUUUUAAUAAUAUAGAUAAAAAAAAACCUUUCAAUUGAAAAAUGCAUAAUAUUAUUAAAAAGUCACAAAGAGGAGGAGAAACCAUACCCUUAAUAGAAGACAAUGAUUUCAACAUUUACAAGCGAUUUUCCUCUGAAGUAGAAUCUUAACUCAAUCAUCCUCCAAAAUCCACCACAAGUAGAAUUGAUGGAACAAUAGCCUCACGAUUAGCCUGAUACUAGUGUCUAGCUUGGUAAGGUCUAUGUUAUAAUAUAGUUGUCAAUCUUUUUAAAAGUCAUAUUAUAAAAGUAUUUUAAUUUCACCCUCCAUUUAGAACAUGGGUUAGGAUUCAAAUCUGCAUAACAAAACAACAUAAUUUUAUACCUGCCAGUUUAUAUACAUCAUUCUAUAGAAUUUUAGUUUAUUUCUUAUUCUUACAAAUUUAUAUAGUUCUCUCAAACAAUAUCCUUUUUCAAAACUUCUAACAAGUUUUAAUCGACUGUCAAAAAGUACAUGAUAGAAAACGAAAUAAUUUUGUCAGUAAAAUUGUUCAUGCACCUGAAACCUUUAUAUGAUAGGGUAAAGAUCUUAAAACAUCAAUAGUAGCAAAUUUCUUAACUUGAGUUUCUAAACGUAAAUAUAUUAAUAUUUUACAAUAAUAAAACUGAAUAAUAAAAUUAAAAAAGUCUAAAGUGGAAUUGUGCGAAUGAAAAGAAGACAGCUGGCUUAAUGUUUUCUGAAGACAAUUGCAGAGUCCCAUUGGAGAGAGACGACGCUCGUUUGUUUCAUUCAUCUCUCUUACUAUUACAUACUAGGGGCGGAGCCUCCAGGCAAUCGAGGGUCGACGGAGUUGUUGCUCUGUCUCAAUGUGUGCAAGUGAAAUACUGUAUUUGUGAAGUUUACGUUUUGCUGUGGUCACUGAUUUACUUACACGCUUGCGCGCGGAUUCAGUUGUGUUGCUUAAUCCUUAUGGGUAUUGUCUACUAUUCUUGAAUUUUCCGUUUUAUUAAUGAUUUACAUUUAUAUUUUUUUUGUUUUUUUCUUUGUGUCUUUACGUUAGGUGUUUUGAUUUGUGUAUAUUCACGUUUUCUAUAAACUAUUGUUCUUCUUCCUAUCAUUACUUAUUUGGGAAAAUUGACUUUUUAAAUCUGAACUUUCAAAAAUAAGUAAAAAAAACCUUGAACUCAGCAUGCCAUUUAGUUCCUGAACUCUUAGAUAAACACGAAAAAAUCUUGAACAAUCAUUGACCAAGCCCUUUUAACACUCUAAUUAAUCUUCAGUUAAUUAAUAUUUAACAGACGUUAAAUCACUAAUCGAAGUCGCUUUGAUAAAAUGAAAAAUAUAAUCUAAACACGAAAAUUCCCCUUUUAUUUUCUUAAAUCCCUAAUUUUUCAUCUCUAUCUUCACAAACAUCUGUCGAGCUCAUUACCAAACAUUACCGAAAAAUCAACGCAACCGAUCUUAAAAUUCAUUACCAUAACACAAAGACAAAGCAUCCAAAACACCAUAGCCUAUAUCAUUACAACAAUGAGCUUUCGAUCUCUCUCAUGGCUUAAACUUCAUCCAUGGAUAUUGUAUGAGUUCAUACGCCCAUCCAAUGUUGUGGGUUUGAGGCCAGAGAAAGAUAGUAAGGAGAUACGUUGGUAAGAGCCAUGGUGAGAGAUGGCACGAGCAAGGAGGGCUUGAAAGAGAUGAAAAAUUAGGCAUUUAAGAAGAUGAAUUGGGACUUUUUCAUGUUUAGAUUAGGAUUUUCCGUUUUAUUAAAAUAAUGUCGUUUUCUGAUUUAACAACCGUUAAAAUAUUAAUUAACAAAAAAUUAAUUAGAAUGUUAAAAGGGUUUGGUUAACAAUUGUUCAAGAUUUUUUAGUGUUUGACUAAGUGUUCAUAAACUAAAUGACAUGUUUUGGAGAUAAAGGUUUUUUUUGGUUUAUUUUUGAAAUUUCAGAAUUAAUAAUUCAAUUUUUACUUAUUUGUAGUUCCACUUUAUUCGAAUUUGUAUAAUGAUUUUUUCAUUUUAUUUUUACUUUGGUGUAAUUUACAUUACCACUCAUCUGAGCGCAUAAUUUUUCUUUGAGUUUUCCCCCUUUUUUUUUCUCAUUUUAUUAAACAUAUGGAGAAGCCACUGUUUCUAAUUCAUAAUCCCAACGUUGCCCCUAUCUUUAGUCAUGCACCUAUCUCUGCACCUAUCUAUGACACGUAGGUUUGCUAAAGUCUACGCUGACAUUUGUAGCUACCCCAUCUCUCUUUCUCUCUGGUUCUCUCACUUCCUCACUCUUUCUUCUUCCUGCUUUUUUCUUCAGUCCUUCCUGAUUCUUUUUUUUCUGGACUAUUAUUCCUGAUUUUAUAAGUCUAUAUUCUCUUUGAUUUUAACAUAUUGUGUCAAUCUAAAAGGAGAGAAACAAUCAUCAUCCAUGGUGACUGGCAAUCUGAAAAAGAUAGCUUCCAUUGAUGCUCAGCACAUACUAAUUGCUCCUACCAAAGUCUCUGAAGAAGACAAGAUUGUUGAGUACGAUGCUUUAUUUAGGCAUCUCCUUUUUCUUGUAAUUAUUUAUCUCUCUUUCAGGGGUUGGAAAAAUCUCUGCAUUGAUCUUGUGUUACAGCAUCUGCCCAAACCUUUCAUUUUCUUUCACCGAUUACGCAAGCGAAAUCCCUUAAUUUCCAUAUACUAUUGUUUGUCAUUAUUCUGCAGAGGCAAUAAUGGCGAUGGAGAUCACUCAGUUUCUACUUGCUGCCCAGUCAGCCAAACUUGCAUAGUUUUUACUGUCUAUGUUUUUGGGCUUGCCAACAAUGAUCUUUCUAAUCCUGUCGACGAGCUGGUAUUUUACCCAACACAGCAAGAAGAUGAUCCGAGCAGGUCGGGGGGUCACGUCGGAUUCCCGAGAGGUUCAGAGCAAGCCUAGAUGGAGGGGGAGCUUGAAAAUGUUUUUGAUUCUUCCAUGUCUUUAAGUUCGAGUUACAAUGUGAAUGUUGUUUGGGAAGCUAGCGCGUCUUUAAGGUUGGGUUGCGGGGGGGGGGGGAGCUUGAAAAUGUUUUUGAUUCUUCCAUGUCUUUUCGAGUUUCAAAGUGAAUGUUGUUUGGGAAGGUAGCGUAUCUUUAAAAAAUGCUUGUGCUUCAAUUCAUAGUAUUUCCGAAUUAACUUUGUAACUAGAUCUCGAACCGCGCGGAUGUUUGAUUUCAAUUUUUUUAUUAA